GACGAACGCUGGCGGCGUGCUUAACACAUGCAAGUCGAACGGUGAAGCGCCUUCCUUUUUGGUGGGUGUGGAUGAGUGGCGAACGGGUGAGUAACACGUGAGUAACCUGCCCCCUUCUUCUGGAUAACCGCAUGAAAGUGUGGCUAAUACGGGAUAUUCUGGGUCUGUCGCAUGAUGGGUCUGGGAAAGAUAUUGUUUCGGUGGGGGAUGGGCUCGCGGCCUAUCAGCUUGUUGGUGGGGUGAUGGCCUACCAAGGCGGUGACGGGUAGCCGGCCUGAGAGGGUGGACGGUCACACUGGGACGGAGACACGGCGCAGACUCCUACGGGAGGCAGCAGGGGGGAAUAGUGCACGAUGGGCGCAAGCCUGAUGCAGCGACGCCGCGGGAGGGAUGGAGGCCGUCGGGUUGUGAACCUCUGUCGCGAGUGAAGCAGGGCUGCCUCGUUUGUGGGUGGGUUGACGGUAGCUGGAUAAGAAGCGCCGGCUAACUACGUG
rnacentral:rRNA from 1 species